AAGUCGUAACAAGGUUUCCGUAGGUGAACCUGCGGAAGGAUCAUUAUUUAUAUAAUAUGAUUAUAUUCCAUUAGUCACGUAAUUGUUAAGAAUUAUUAGACUAAGCUAAAUUUUAGCUUAAUUUUAUUAAUUCUAAUCAAUUUAUUGACAUCUAAAAUUGAUUUAGUUUCGAUUAAUUUUUAAACUUUUAGUUUAAUUAGUGAUCAGAAACUGAUAAUUCAGGCGUUAAACCCUGAAUCAAAACUAUUGUUCUAUUAAUUUAACAGUAAAAUUGCAUUCUAAUUAUUAAUUAACUUAAUAACUAAUAACAAUGGAUCUCUUGGCACU
rnacentral:misc_RNA from 1 species